rnacentral:rRNA from 1 species
AACGAACGCUGGCGGCAGGCUUAACACAUGCAAGUCGAACGCAUCCUUCGGGGUGAGUGGCAGACGGGUGAGUAACGCGUGGGAACGUGCCCUUCAGUUCGGGAUAACCCAGGGAAACUUGGGCUAAUACCGGAUACGUGCGAGAGCAGAAAGAUUUAUCGCUGAAGGAUCGGCCCGCGUCUGAUUAGCUAGCUGGUGGGGUAAUGGCCCACCAAGGCGACGAUCAGUAGCUGGUCUGAGAGGAUGAUCAGCCACAUUGGGGCUGAGACACGGCCCAAACUCCUACGGGAGGCAGCAGUGGGGAAUAUUGGACAAUGGGCGCAAGCCUGAUCCAGCCAUGCCGCGUGAGUGAUGAAGGCCUUAGGGUUGUAAAGCUCCUUCGUCCGGGACGAUAAUGACGGUACCGGAAGAAGAAGCCCCGGCUAACUUCGUGCCAGCCGCCGCCGUAAGAC